rnacentral:rRNA from 1 species
GGUUAAGCGACUAAGCGUACACGGUGGAUGCCCUGGCAGUCAGAGGCGAUGAAGGGCGUGCUAAUCUGCGAUAAGCGCCGGUAAGGUGAUAUGAACCGUUAUAACCGGCGAUACCCGAAUGGGGAAACCCAGUGUGAUUCGUCACACUAUCAUUAACUGAAUCCAUAGGUUAAUGAGGCGAACCGGGGGAACUGAAACAUCUAAGUACCCCGAGGAAAAGAAAUCAACCGAGAUUCCCCCAGUAGCGGCGAGCGAACGGGGAGGAGCCCAGAGCCUGAAUCAGCAUGUGUGUUAGUGGAAGCGUCUGGAAAGGUGCGCGAUACAGGGUGACAGCCCCGUACACAAAAGCGCAUGUGCUGUGAGCUCGAUGAGUAGGGCGGGACACGUGGUAUCCUGUCUGAAUAUGGGGGGACCAUCCUCCAAGGCUAAAUACUCCUGACUGACCGAUAGUGAACCAGUACCGUGAGGGAAAGGCGAAAAGAACCCCGGCGAGGGGAGUGAAAAAGAACCUGAAACCGUGUACGUACAAGCAGUGGGAGCCCCACCACCAAAGCAUUCUCUGGUGUUGAAGGCCCUGCAAAGCAGCAUCGCGGUGGCGGAGCGUCGUUUGCGACGCCCAACACACAAAACAAGCGGUGAAUGCUUUGGGGUGGGGUGACUGCGUACCUUUUGUAUAAUGGGUCAGCGACUUAUAUUCUGUAGCAAGGUUAACCGAAUAGGGGAGCCGGAGGGAAACCGAGUCUUAAUUGGGCGUUAAGUUGCAGGGUAUAGACCCGAAACCCGGUGAUCUAGCCAUGGGCAGGUUGAAGGUUGGGUAACACUAACUGGAGGACCGAACCGACUAAUGUUGAAAAAUUAGCGGAUGACCUGUGGCUGGGGGUGAAAGGCCAAUCAAACCGGGAGAUAGCUGGUUCUCCCCGAAAGCUAUUUAGGUAGCGCCUCGUGAAUUCAUCUCCGGGGGUAGAGCACUGUUUCGGCUAGGGGGCCAUCCCGGCUUACCAACCCGAUGCAAACUGCGAAUACCGGAGAAUGUUAUCACGGGAGACACACGGCGGGUGCUAACGUCCGUCGUGAAGAGGGAAACAACCCAGACCGCCAGCUAAGGUCCCAAAGUCAUGGUUAAGUGGGAAACGAUGUGGGAAGGCCCAGACAGCCAGGAUGUUGGCUUAGAAGCAGCCAUCAUUUAAAGAAAGCGUAAUAGCUCACUGGUCGAGUCGGCCUGCGCGGAAGAUGUAACGGGGCUAAACCAUGCACCGAAGCUGCGGCAGCGAACGUAUCACCCAAGACAACUUUACGGAGUUGACGAUUGACGGAGCGAAGCGACGUCAAAGCGUUCAUUAAAGUCGAGUUGGCUUAGGGAUACGUUCGUUGGGUAGGGGAGCGUUCUGUAAGCCUGUGAAGGUGUGUCGUGAGGCAUGCUGGAGGUAUCAGAAGUGCGAAUGCUGACAUAAGUAACGAUAAAGCGGGUGAAAAGCCCGCUCGCCGGAAGACCAAGGGUUCCUGUCCAACGUUAAUCGGGGCAGGGUGAGUCGACCCCUAAGGCGAGGCCGAAAGGCGUAGUCGAUGGGAAACGGGUUAAUAUUCCCGUACUUGGUGUUACUGCGAAGGGGGGACGGAGAAGGCUAUGUUGGCCGGGCGACGGUUGUCCCGGUUUAAGCGUGUAGGUGUGUGUUCCAGGUAAAUCCGGUUCACUUUAACACUGAGGCGUGACGACGAGGCACUACGGUGCUGAAGCAACAAAUGCCCUGCUUCCAGGAAAAGCCUCUAAGCAUCAGGUAACACGAAAUCGUACCCCAAACCGACACAGGUGGUCAGGUAGAGAAUACCAAGGCGCUUGAGAGAACUCGGGUGAAGGAACUAGGCAAAAUGGUGCCGUAACUUCGGGAGAAGGCACGCUGACACGUAGGUGAAGUGAUUUACUCAUGGAGCUGAAGUCAGUCGAAGAUACCAGCUGGCUGCAACUGUUUAUUAAAAACACAGCACUGUGCAAACACGAAAGUGGACGUAUACGGUGUGACGCCUGCCCGGUGCCGGAAGGUUAAUUGAUGGGGUCAGCGCAAGCGAAGCUCCUGAUCGAAGCCCCGGUAAACGGCGGCCGUAACUAUAACGGUCCUAAGGUAGCGAAAUUCCUUGUCGGGUAAGUUCCGACCUGCACGAAUGGCGUAAUGAUGGCCAGGCUGUCUCCACCCGAGACUCAGUGAAAUUGAACUCGCUGUGAAGAUGCAGUGUACCCGCGGCAAGACGGAAAGACCCCGUGAACCUUUACUAUAGCUUGACACUGAACAUUGAGCCUUGAUGUGUAGGAUAGGUGGGAGGCUUUGAAGUGUGGACGCCAGUCUGCAUGGAGCCGACCUUGAAAUACCACCCUUUAAUGUUUGAUGUUCUAACGUGGACCCGUAAUCCGGGUUGCGGACAGUGUCUGGUGGGUAGUUUGACUGGGGCGGUCUCCUCCUAAAGAGUAACGGAGGAGCACGAAGGUUGGCUAAUCCUGGUCGGACAUCAGGAGGUUAGUGCAAUGGCAUAAGCCAGCUUGACUGCGAGCGUGACGGCGCGAGCAGGUGCGAAAGCAGGUCAUAGUGAUCCGGUGGUUCUGAAUGGAAGGGCCAUCGCUCAACGGAUAAAAGGUACUCCGGGGAUAACAGGCUGAUACCGCCCAAGAGUUCAUAUCGACGGCGGUGUUUGGCACCUCGAUGUCGGCUCAUCACAUCCUGGGGCUGAAGUAGGUCCCAAGGGUAUGGCUGUUCGCCAUUUAAAGUGGUACGCGAGCUGGGUUUAGAACGUCGUGAGACAGUUCGGUCCCUAUCUGCCGUGGGCGCUGGAGAACUGAGGGGGGCUGCUCCUAGUACGAGAGGACCGGAGUGGACGCAUCACUGGUGUUCGGGUUGUCAUGCCAAUGGCACUGCCCGGUAGCUAAAUGCGGAAGAGAUAAGUGCUGAAAGCAUCUAAGCACGAAACUUGCCCCGAGAUGAGUUCUCCCUGAGACUUAGAGUCUCCUGAAGGAACGUUGAAGACGACGACGUUGAUAGGCCGGGUGUGUAAGCGCAGCGAUGCGUUGAGCUAACCGGUACUAAUGAACCGUGAGGCUUAACCUU